AGCUUUUGGUGCAGUGGUUAACUCAACAGGUUAUGAGCCCUGUGUGCGCGGAGGUCCUGGGAUCGAAUCCCAGUCGUGACGGUUG